rnacentral:miRNA from 1 species
UUAGUGGAGCUCAUGCUAGAA